CCUACGGGUGGCAGCAGUGAGGAAUAUUGGUCAAUGGACGCGAGUCUGAACCAGCCAAGUCGCGUGAAGGAUGACGGCCCUAUGGGUUGUAAACUUCUUUUAUAAAAGAAUAAAGUGAGGCACGCGUGCCUUUCUGUAUGUACUUUAUGAAUAAGGAUCGGCUAACUCCGUGCCAGCAGCCGCGGUAAUACGGAGGAUCCAAGCGUUAUCCGGAUUUAUUGGGUUUAAAGGGUGCGUAGGUGGUCGGUUAAGUCAGUUGUGAAAGUUUGCGGCUCAACCUCGGAAUUGCAUUUGAUACUGGGAGGCUUGAGUGCAGUUGAGGUAGGCGGAAUGCAUGGUGUAGCGGUGAAAUGCUUAGAGAUCACGCAGAACUCCGAUUGCGAAGGCAGCCUACCAAGCUGCCACUGACAUUGAGGCUCGAAAGUGUGGGUAGCAAACAGGAUUAGAUACCCCGGUAGUC
rnacentral:rRNA from 1 species